UACGACUAAAAACUAGAUCUAAUUAUGAUGCUCAGUACUCAAAAUCAUUGUAUAUUUUUCUCUUGCCUUGUAUACAUCUUUUUUUUCUUCCAUCUUAGGAAAUCAUCCACUGGAUGCUAGGAGUAAACGAACUUCUCCUUCUCAGAACUAAUUGUCUGGUGGAGAUGUAACAAGUCAACAGACGAUCCAGCCUGUCACAGUUGAUAACAGAGUUUCAUGCAUACUCUUAAAACAUCUAAUCCUCCUUCUACACAUCAAAUUCUGGCGUUGGAAUUUGAAUCUUGAGCACAGGAACAUAAGAUGGAAAAUCUAUCCUGAAGCUUUCUAAAAGGACCACCCAUUAACUCCUGCUGCCUGGAUUCCUCAGAUACUGGUUUAUGGGCACGCACUUGCUUCUGAGAGCUGCCUGCGCUCAGUGUGUUGAGGAAACAGUUUCUGAGCCUGCAAGAUUGAGAGUUUUGCUAAAUUCAGCAAGGCUGUUCAAGUAGAAAGCCAGUGUACUCUGAAUAAUGCCUUUUCAAAUGGAGGAAGAAUUGAAUUCUAGAAUCGCAUACUCCUGGAACAGUUGGAGAUGGCAGUUUGCUGAGUAUGAUUUUUGCAAGAAGAUUCUGUAAUGAAAUGUUGGCCUCAGGACACCUGGGUGGCUCAAUGGUUGAGCAUCUGCCUUCGGCUCAGGGUGUGAUCCCAGGAUCAGGGAUCGAGUCCCGCAUGGGGCUCCCUGCAGGAAGCCUGCUUCUCCC